CCUACGGGGGGCAGCAGUGGGGAAUAUUGGGCAAUGGGGGAAACCCUGACCCAGCGACGCCGCGUGAGGGAAGAAGGUUUUCGGAUUGUAAACCUCUGUUCUUGGUGAAGAGAAGAAGACGGUAGCCAAGGAGGAAGCCCCGGCUAACUACGUGCCAGCAGCCGCGGUAAUACGUAGGGGGCGAGCGUUGUCCGGAAUGAUUGGGCGUAAAGGGCGCGUAGGCGGCUGAUUAAGUCUGGAGUGGAAGUCCUAUUUUCAAGGUAGGAAUUGCUUUGGAAACUGAUCAGCUUGAGUGCAGGAGAGGUUAUCGGAAUUCCCGGUGUAGCGGUGAAAUGCGUAGAGAUCGGGAGGAACACCAGUGGCGAAGGCGGGUAACUGGACUGCAACUGACGCUGAGGCGCGAAAGUGUGGGGAGCAAACAGGCUUAGAUACCCUGGUAGUC
rnacentral:rRNA from 1 species